rnacentral:misc_RNA from 1 species
GAUGAAGAACGCAGCGAAAUGCGAUAAGUAGUGUGAAUUGCAGAAUUCAGUGAAUCAUCGAAUCUUUGAACGCACAUUGCGCCCCUUGGUAUUCCAUGGGGCAUGCCUGUUCGAGCGUCAUUUGUACCUUCAAGCUUUGCUUGGUGUUGGGUGUUUGUCUCGCCUUUGCGUGUAGACUCGCCUUAAAAUAAUUGGCAGCCGGCGUAUUGAUUUCGGAGCGCAGUACAUCUCGCGCUUUGCACUCAUAACGACAGCGUCCGAAAGUACAUUUUACACUCUUGACCUCGGAUCAGGUAGGGAUACCCGCUGAACUUAAGCAUAUCAAUAAGCGGAGGA